UCAAUUGGAAGUAAUGCAAAUGCCUGAUACGACCAGGAGAUGUUGAGUGUGGAUAUUAUGUCAUGCCAUACAUGUUUGAUAUCAUGACAAAAUAUUCAUCUAUUGAUUGUUUGGAUAAAGCAUUUGAAAGCAAUAGUCCGUACUCUGUCAACAACAUAAGUG